rnacentral:rRNA from 1 species
UACGUAGGGGGCAAGCGUUGUCCGGAUUUAUUGGGCGUAAAGAGCGUGUAGGCGGCCAUACAGGUCCGUUGUGAAAACUGGAGGCUUAACCUCCAGACGUCGAUGGAAACCGUAUGACUAGAGUUCGGUAGAGGAGUGUGGAAUUCCUGGUGGAGCGGUGAAAUGCGCAGAGAUCAGGAGGAACACCCGUAGCGAAGGCGGCACUCUGGGCCGAUACUGACACUGAGGAGCGAAAGCGUGGGGAGCAAACAGG